GAUGAACGCUGGCGGCGUGCCUAAUACAUGCAAGUCGAGCGAACAGACGAGGAGCUUGCUCCGCUGACGUUAGCGGCGGACGGGUGAGUAACACGUGGAUAACCUACCUAUAAGACUGGGAUAACUUCGGGAAACCGGAGCUAAUACCGGAUAAUAUAUUGAACCGCAUGGUUCAAUAGUGAAAGACGGUUUUGCUGUCACUUAUAGAUGGAUCCGCGCCGCAUUAGCUAGUUGGUAAGGUAACGGCUUACCAAGGCAACGAUGCGUAGCCGACCUGAGAGGGUGAUCGGCCACACUGGAACUGAGACACGGUCCAGACUACUACGGGAGGCAGCAGUAGGGAAUCUUCCGCAAUGGGCGAAAGCUUGACGGAGCAACGCCGCGUGAGUGAUGAAGGUCUUCGGAUCGUAAAACUCUGUUAUUAGGGAAGAACAAAUGUGUAAGUAACUAUGCACGUCUUGACGGUACCUAAUCUGAAAGCCACGGCUAACUACGUG
rnacentral:rRNA from 1 species